rnacentral:lncRNA from 1 species
GAAAAUUGAUGCGGAUAGAUAUUCAAUUGAUUUCUGAAUAAUUGGUUUUAAACAUUCACUGAAUUUUUAUUCAGCGUAUUUCAGUACGCUAAUAAAAAGGAUAUACUUGGAUAGUUGUCUCCUUGGCAAUCAUAACACAUCUUCUUAUCACUACAAUUCCUUGCAGCUAUGUGUUUAGUUUCAACGAGCAUAAAUUCUGCGGUCC